rnacentral:lncRNA from 1 species
GAUCAAGAGUCAUUGACCCAAAGCUCGUUACAUGGACCUUACUAGAGCCUAAUGGAGUUGGACUGUUGUAGUCACUAUGCAUUAAAUAAUAAUAAUAAUAAUAAUAAAUUUAAACAUGAGUGAGUUAGUUAAACUUAAACCAAGUGACAUGUGGAUGACUGGUUUGACUCCAUUGUUUUAGAACUCUGUGUACCUGGGAUGUCUAGUUGGGAUUGAUAGCUUCAUUUUUAUAUGCGAACCAUUCUGGACAAAUAACAUGUGAUAUUCGGAAAAUUUAGUGGGUCGGAAGCUAACAAAUGGUAGUUAACACUUGUGAAUUUGAGUAGUGCACCUAGAACUCAAGGGGUACCCAAUUGUGGUGGAGGUAUAGGUAUUCUGAGACGUCACAUUUACAUUUGCCUUAAGGGUUGCUAUGAUUUAAAGUAUCUUUUAACUUAAAAA